ACGCUCGACACCUACGGGAGCAGCAGUGAGGAAUAUUGGUCAAUGGACGCAAGUCUGAACCAGCCAUGCCGCGUGCAGGAUGACGGCUCUAUGAGUUGUAAACUGCUUUUGUACGAGGGUAAACGCAGAUACGUGUAUCUGUCUGAAAGUAUCGUACGAAUAAGGAUCGGCUAACUCCGUGCCAACAGCCGCCGGUAAUCUGAGCGGGCGUGGCGAAGGCG
rnacentral:rRNA from 1 species